AUACGGAGGAUCCGAGCGUUAUCCGGAUUUAUUGGGUUUAAAGGGUGCGCAGGCGGCCAUUUAAGUCAGCGGUUAAAUCGUGGGGCUCAACCCCAUUCUGCCGUUGAUACUGGGUGGCUUGAUUGCGGUCGAGGUUGGCGGAAUUCGUUGUGUAGCGGUGAAAUGCAUAGAUAUGACGAAGAACACCGAUUGCGUAGGCAGCUGACCAGACCGCAAAUGACGCUCAUGCACGAAAGUGCGGGGAUCGAACAGGAUUAGAUACCCUGGUAGUCCGCACAGUAAACGAUGAAUACUUGUUUUCGGCGAUAUAAUGUCGGAGGCAAAGCGAAAGCGAUAAGUAUUCCACCUGGGGAGUACGCCGGCAACGGUGAAACUUAAAGGAAUCGACGGGG
rnacentral:rRNA from 1 species